rnacentral:rRNA from 1 species
AUUGAACGCCGGCGGCAUGCCUUACACAUGCAAGUCGAACGGUAACGCGGGGCAACCUGGCGACGAGUGGCGAACGGGUGAGUAAUAUAUCGGAACGUGCCCAAUAGUGGGGGAUAGCCCGGCGAAAGCCGGAUUAAUACCGCAUACGACCUGAGGGUGAAAGCGGGGGAUCGCAAGACCUCGCGCUAUUGGAGCGGCCGAUAUCAGAUUAGGUAGUUGGUGGGGUAAAGGCCUACCAAGCCUACGAUCUGUAGCUGGUCUGAGAGGACGACCAGCCACACUGGAACUGAGACACGGUCCAGACUCCUACGGGAGGCAGCAGUGGGGAAUUUUGGACAAUGGGGGCAACCCUGAUCCAGCCAUUCCGCGUGAGUGAAGAAGGCCUC